rnacentral:rRNA from 1 species
AGCUCGACACCUACUGGAGGCAGCAGUGGGGAAUAUUGCACAAUGGGGGAAACCCUGAUGCAGCGACGCCGCGUGAGUGAAGAAGUAUUUCGGUAUGUAAAGCUCUAUCAGCAGGGAAGAAGAUGACGGUACCUGAGUAAGAAGCCCCGGCUAACUACGUGUCAGCAGCCGCGGUAAUCUGAGCGGGCUGGCAAGGC